AGUAUGAGUUAGACGCGAGCAAGUUCACCUAACGGAAAAAAACGAAAAGACGCAAAAUCAUUCAUCUUGGGACAACAUGCAGCACCAAACUAUAUAGGAAUUAAACACCUUCACGUCUUUUCUAUCACCAAACCGAGUCUGUUCUAUCACAUCUAAGCGACAAUUUCGUGGUGCUUUCAAUAGUAUUGAAGACUGUUUUGAAAGUUCCCAAAUGGA